GAGUGUGGAAACAGCUGGAAUUGGGAAGCACUGGGGAAGAAGUGUGGAAACCUAAUGCAGUGGAAACUUCUUGGAAUCAAUGAGGGUGAACUGGUGAGAACCAGCAAUAAAGGAUAGGGUCCUGAAUCAGCCAUAUUUUGUAAACAGAUGUUACUUCAGAUGAACAUGUGACCCACAGCUUCGGAGCUUGAGAGGUGGAGCUGAUAGAUCAUGAAUUCGUUGUACAAACAUUUCACUUUUCAGAUCAAACAGUGGGGAAUUAGUGAAGAUAAGGAAAACAAAAUGAAGAAUGAAUCCCAUUUUCCUGAAAAUAUCCCAAGGCUUGGCCUUAUUCUUCAAUGAUGAAUCCUCUCUGUAGACACAAUACUUGGUACCUGAUAACUGGGGCAUAUUAUUGUGAAUAACGACAUAAAAUGACAUGUGAGAAGUUUUAAAAACUGUGUCAGAUCACUUAAAGCCUGUUGCAGCAUCCUUAUUAAAAAUUUGUACUGUUGAAAAAGAUGUGAUCUACUUUUGUUUUACCAAUUCAAGCAAGUAUUUUAUUUGCAAUAAAGAAAUUG